rnacentral:rRNA from 1 species
UACGUAGGUGGCAAGCGUUGUCCGGAGUUAUUGGGCGUAAAGCGCGCGCAGGCGGUGCGGUAAGUCUCUGGUGAAAGCGCUCGGCUUAACUGGGCGAGGGCCGGGGAGACUGCCACGCUGGAGGGGAGCAGAGGCGAGUGGAAUUCCGGGUGUAGUGGUGAAAUGCGUAGAGAUCCGGAGGAACACCAGUGGCGAAGGCGGCUCGCUGGGCUCUACCUGACGCUGAGGCGCGACAGCGUGGGGGAGCAAACAGG